GCAGAAGUAACAUUCCUUUGAACACUCAGCUUUCUGAAAUGGUGUCCCACCGCAAGGACUGGAGAAGGCGCCCAUUGCUAGUUGCUUCCUGGAGGAAUUUCCCAAAAUAAAAGUGCCUAUCCACAAAUCCUUCUCCUGAGGCUGCUUUUUUGGAGAAUUCAAGUUAAGGAAGAUUUCUAUUGGAUCAGUAUAUGUACAUGAAGUUCACUUUACUCUUCAUUCCCAGUGAAAAUGCUUUGGCAAUUUUGAGACUUUACUGAAGACUCUAAGGAGGACCUGUAUCUGUUGGGAUCCUCAGGGCAAGCCACAGAAACAAGCUUUGGAUACUAGAAGCAGAAAAUGGAGAUAUUGAAGACUAUUGUGGAGUUUACUGUGAGCCA
rnacentral:lncRNA from 1 species